UGGGGAAUUUUGGACAAUGGGCGCAAGCCUGAUCCAGCCAUGCCGCGUGCGGGAAGAAGGCCUUCGGGUUGUAAACCGCUUUUGUCAGGGAAGAAAUCUUCUGAGUUAAUACCUCGGGAGGAUGACGGUACCUGAAGAAUAAGCACCGGCUAACUACGUGCCAGCAGCCGCGGUAAUACGUAGGGUGCAAGCGUUAAUCGGAAUUACUGGGCGUAAAGCGUGCGCAGGCGGUUUUGUAAGACAGAGGUGAAAUCCCCGGGCUCAACCUGGGAACUGCCUUUGUGACUGCAAGGCUUGAGUGCGGCAGAGGGGGAUGGAAUUCCGCGUGUAGCAGUGAAAUGCGUAGAUAUGCGGAGGAACACCGAUGGCGAAGGCAAUCCCCUGGGCCUGCACUGACGCUCAUGCACGAAAGCGUGGGGAGCAAACAGGAUUAGAUAGCCCCUGGUAGUCCACGCCCUAAACGAUGUCAACUGGUUGUUGGGAAGGUUCCUUCUCAGUAACGUAGCUAACGCGUGAAGUUGACCGCCUGGGGAGUACGGCCGCAAGGUUGAAACUCAAAUGAAUUGAC
rnacentral:rRNA from 1 species